UACUUCCUCAUCUUCGUAAGACUACCCGCUGAACUUAA
rnacentral:rRNA from 1 species